rnacentral:rRNA from 1 species
UACGAAGGGGGCUAGCGUUGCUCGGAAUUACUGGGCGUAAAGCGCACGUAGGCGGCUUUCUAAGUCGGGGGUGAAAUCCUGGAGCUCAACUCCAGAACUGCCUUCGAUACUGGAGAGCUUGAGUCCGGGAGAGGUGAGUGGAACUGCAAGUGUAGAGGUGAAAUUCGUAGAUAUUCGCAAGAACACCAGUGGCGAAGGCGGCUCACUGGCCCAUUACUGACGCUGAGUCACGAAAGCGUGGGGAGCAAACAGG